GUUCAGUAGUAUGCAAGUAGAACACUGAAGAAACUAUGAAAUAUGGUUUUUUCACUUAUUUGGUGAUUUUGUAAGUGACAUCUACUGGCAACAAAUUCUUUCAACUUCUAUUUGCCUUGGAAAGUCUUUAUUUGUUCUUCAUGUUUUUAAAAAAAAUUUUUUAAACAUAUCUUUAGACAAAUGCCCAGGCUUAGGACACCAGUGUUUACUACUAUGGACUGGGCUGAAUUAGUUCUUCAUUAACCAAUCAGACGUGAUGGAAAACAAUCUACACAUCAUUGAAGCAGGAAAGAGCAUGCUGCCAAGGGACAACAACCAAAUAGAACAAAUCAGGAAACUAUUGAGGCUGGACAAGGAGAACAAUAGACGGAAAAAGAACCUCAAGAGCAUGCAGAAGUGUCAAAGACACAGCAGCUCCCACUGUUAAGAAUCCCACAGAAACACCAAACUAAUACCCAUAAUAUAUACACAGAGGACCUAGUGCAGAACCAGAUAGACCCAGUGCUUGCUCCUUUAAGUUUCUAAUAUCUUCCUGCACCAAAGAGACUAAUGCAUAGGAGUGAUGACUCCAUGCAGGCACCAGCGGAACCUCUUUACUUUCAAUGAGCUCAAUGUUUGGGUUACCUCACUCAGGAUAAAGUUUUCUAGAUGUAUCCAUUUGUCUG